ACAGCGGUGAGUAUGUGGUUUAAUUCGACGCAACGCGCAGAACCUUACCUAGGCUUGACAUCCCGGGAAUUUGCUGGAAACAGUGAAGUGCUUUCAUUAGAAAGAGCCCGGUGACAGGUGCUGCAUGGCUGUCGUCAGCUCGUGUCGUGAGAUGUUGGGUUAAGUCCCGCAACGAGCGCAACCCUCGCCUUUAGUUGCCAGCAUUCAGUUGGGCACUCUAAAGGGACUGCCGGUGUCAAACCGGAGGAAGGUGGGAUGACGUCAAGUCCUCAUGGCCUUUAUGUCUAGGGCUACACACGUACUACAAUGGCAGGUACAAAGGGCAGCGACACAGCGAUGUGAUGCGAAUCCCGAAAAGCCGUCCACAGUUCGGAUUGGAGUCUGCAACUCGACUCCAUGAAGCCGGAAUCGCUAGUAAUCGUGGAUCAGCAUGCCACGGUCGAAUACGUUCCCGGGCCUU
rnacentral:rRNA from 1 species